AACGAACGCUGGCGGCGUGCUUAACACAUGCAAGUCGAACGCGAAAGGGACUUCGGUCCUGAGUAAAGUGGCGCACGGGUGAGUAACGCGUAGAUAACCUAUCUUAACGUCUGGAAUAAUACGACGAAAGGGGUACUAAUAACGGAUAUUCUUGCUUUUCAUACGUUUUGCCAGGAAAGGUGGCCUCUGUAUAUGCUACUGCGGGACGAGGGGUCUGCGUACCAUUGGCUAGUAGGUGUGGUAAUGGCCUACCUAGGCUACGAUGGUUGGCGGGUCUGAGAGGAUGAUCCGCCACACUGGCACUGGAACACGGGCCAGACUCCUACGGGAGGCAGCAGUGAGGAAUAUUGCGCAAUGGCCGCAAGGCUGACGCAGCAACGCCGCGUGGGGGAUGAAGGUUUUCGGAUCGUAAACCCCUGUAGAGAGGGAAGAAGGGCAGAUGGUCUAAUAGGCCAUCCGCUUGACGGUACCUUUAGAGGAAGUUCCGGCCAACUUCGUGCCAGCAGCCGCGGUAACAC
rnacentral:rRNA from 1 species